GUGAAAAACUCCGGUGGUAUGAGAUGGACCCGCGUCUGAUUAGGUAGUUGGUGGGGUAACGGCCUACCAAGCCGACGAUCAGUAGCCGACCUGAGAGGGUGACCGGCCACAUUGGGACUGAGACACGGCCCAAACUCCUACGGGAGGCAGCAGUGGGGAAUAUUGCACAAUGGGGGAAACCCUGAUGCAGCGACGCCGCAUGAGCGAUGAAGUAUUUCGGUAUGUAAAGCUCUAUCAGCAGGGAAGAAAAUGACGGUACCUGACUAAGAAGCCCCGGCUAACUACGUGCCAGCAGCCGCGGUAAUACGUAGGGGGCAAGCGUUAUCCGGAUUUACUGGGUGUAAAGGGAGCGUAGACGGCAUGGCAAGCCAGAUGUGAAAGCCCGGGGCUCAACCCCGGGACUGCAUUUGGAACUGUCAGGCUAGAGUGUCGGAGAGGAAAGCGGAAUUCCUAGUGUAGCGGUGAAAUGCGUAGAUAUUAGGAGGAACACCAGUGGCGAAGGCGGCUUUCUGGACGAUGACUGACGUUGAGGCUCGAAAGCGUGGGGAGCAAACAAGAUUAGAUCCCCUGGUAGUCCUCGCCGUAACCGCCCAUAAAUGGGUGUCGGGUGGCAAAGCCAUUCGGUGCCGCAGCAAACGCAAUAAGUAUUCCUCCUGGGGAGUACGUUCGCAAGAAUGAAACUCAAAGGAAUUGACGGGGGCCCGCACAAGCGGUGGAGCGUGUGGUUUAAUUUGAAGCAACGCGAAGAACCUUACCUGGUCUUGACAUCCCUCUGUCCGCUCGUUAAUAGGAGAUUUCCUUCGGGACAGAGGAGACAGGUGGUGCAUGGUUGUCGUCAGCUCGUGUACGUGAGAUGUUGGGUUAAGUCCCGCCACGAGCGCAACCCCUCUCUUUAGUAGCCAGCAUUUUGGAUGGGCACUCUAGAGAGACUGCCAGGGAUAACCUGGAGGAAGGUGGGGAGGACGUCAAAUCAUCAUUCCCCUUAUGUCCAGGGCUACACACGUGCUACAAUGGCGUAAACAAAGGGAAGCGAGCCCGCGAGGGGGGGCAAAUCCCAAAAAUAACGUCU
rnacentral:rRNA from 1 species